CCUACGGGAGGCAGCAGUGGGGGAUAUUGGACAAUGGGGGAAACCCUGAUCCAGCGACGCCGCGUGAGUGAAGAAGUCUUUCGGUAUGUAAAGCUCUAUCAGCAGGGAAGAAAGCAAUGACGGUACCUGAGUAAGAAGCUCCCGCUACCUACGUGCCAGCAGCCGCGGUAAUACGUAGGGGGCAAGCGUUAUCCGGAAUUGCUGGGUGUAAAGGGAGCGUAGACGGUCAUGCAAGUCUGGUGUGAAAGGCGGGGGCCCAACCCCCGGACUGCUCUGGAAACUGUGUGACUGGAGUGAGGGAGAGGCAGGCGGAAUUCCAGGUGUAGCGGUGAAAUGCGUAGAUAUUAGGAGGAACACCAGUGGCGAAGGCGGCCUGCUGGACUGUAACUGACGUUGAGGCUCGAAAGCGUGGGGAGCAAACAGGAUUAGAUACCCCAGUAGUC
rnacentral:rRNA from 1 species